GAACGGUUCCAGGAAGUUACUACGUACAAAGGAAUCAAAUUUUCUAUCUACCCCAAAGACCAAAGUAAUUAGUUAUGCAUGAAUUGAUUUGCUACUGAGGCUAAAUAUGCAGAGAAUUUUCUGUAAAAGGACUCAAAUGGUGUGCUUGCCGCAGUUACGAAAUUGAAUUUAUUUGCUACUCAUGCUAGCUAUGCCAAGAACUUAAAGCUCCUUUGCCAAUCAACAGAGAAAGUACUGAAGGACCAAAUUCUAUUGGUCAAUAUUUCUUGGAACUUCAUUGAGGCUCCAGUGCUCAAUGUCUAGUUUUCACAUUUGCUUGAGGGGAAAAAAAAGAAGAAGCUAUUUUAGUGACAAGUCAUUGUUACAUUGAUUUUGGAUGACACCACCACAAAAAUUGGUCAUUGGACUCAAAGGAAUCAAUUUGCUAGUCAUGCUAACAAGGCUAGUAUGAAGAAAUUCUGUGGAAAAGUUACCUGAAAGUUUGUGUAUUGUGUUUGAUAUGAUUCAUACUUUGCAUGGGCUUAGCGGAUUAUCGACUUACGUUGACGCAUUCAGAGGUCUCACUUGCCAAUGAGUGAGUGGGGUUGAGGGGGUAGCACCCCCUUGAUGGUGAGCCCAAUUAGUAAUUGGGUUUAGAAUUGAUUUGUAAAUAUUUUGGCUUGGGUUUGGUUAGAUUGGGUCAGCCCAAAUGGGGUUAGGGUUACUAUUAUAUGCAUAUUGUAAUAGUGGAAAAUCUCUAGGGUGAGAAAAUUAGAGAGAAAGAGUGAGCUGCUGAUACUUUUUCAUCAUUGUAUUUCACAGAUUUUGAAACUCAAUAAAACUACUCUA